rnacentral:rRNA from 1 species
AAUGAACGCUGGCGGCAGGCCUAACACAUGCAAGUCGAACGGAUCCUUCGGGUUUAGUGGCGGACGGGUGAGUAACGCGUGGGAACAUACCCAAAGGUACGGAAUAGCCUCGGGAAACUGGGAGUAAUACCGUAUGUGCUCGAAAGAGGAAAGAUUUAUCGCCUUUGGAUUGGCCCGCGUUGGAUUAGGUAGUUGGUGGGGUAAUGGCCUACCAAGCCGACGAUCCAUAGCUGGUUUGAGGGGAUGAUCAGCCACACUGGGACUGAGACACGGCCCAGACUCCUACGGGAGGCAGCAGUGGGGAAUUUUAGACAAUGGGGGAAACCCUGAUCUAGCCAUGCCGCGUGAUCGAUGAAGGCCUUAGGGUUGUAAAGAUCUUUCAGGUGGGAAGAUAAUGACUGUACCACCAGAAGAAGCCCCGGCUAACUCCGUGCCAGCCGCCGCGGUAA